rnacentral:rRNA from 1 species
CAGCCGCCACGGGAAUACAGAGGGUGCAAGCGUUAAUCGGAAUUACUGGGCGUAAAGCGCGCGUAGGUGGUUCGCCAAGUUGGAUGUGAAAUCCCCGGGCUCAACCUGGGAACUGCAUCCAAAACUGGCGAGCUAGAGUAUGGUAGAGGGUGGUGGAAUUUCCUGUGUAGCGGUGAAAUGCGUAGAUAUAGGAAGGAACAUCAGUGGCGAAGGCGACCACCUGGACUGAUACUGACACUGAGGUGCGAAAGCGUGGGGAGCAAACAGGAUUAGAUACCCCAGUAGUCCCUGUCUCUUAUAC